rnacentral:rRNA from 1 species
GCUUAAAGGGGCCGUAGCUUGAUAAUAGGGUCCCUUGAGAAAUCCGCCGGCUUAACUGGCGGGCGUUCAGGGGAAACUUGUUUUCUAGGGACCGGGAGAGGUGAGGGGUACUGCCGGGGUAGGAGUGAAAUCCUGUAAUCCCGGUGGGACCACCUAUGGCGAAGGCAUCUCACCAGAACGGGUCCGACAGUGAGGGACGAAAGCUGGGGGAGCAAACCGGAUUAGAUACCCGGGUAGUCCCAGCUGUAAACUAUGUGCGUUAGGUGUGUCAGUGACCACGUGUCACUGAGGUGCCGAAGGGAAACCGUGAAACGCACCGCCUGGGGAGUACGGUCGCAAGGCUGAAACUUAAAGGAAUUGGCGGGGGAGCACCACAACGGGUGGAGCCUGCGGUUUAAUCGGACUCAACGCCGGGAAUCUCACCGGAUAAGACAGCUGAAUGAUAGUCGGGAUGAAGACUCUACUUGACUAGCUGAGAGGAGGUGCAUGGCCGUCGUCAGUUCGUACUGUGAAGCAUCCUGUUUAGUCAGGCAACGAGCGAGACCCACGCGAGCAGUUGCCAGCUUGACCUUCGGGUUGAUGGGGACACUGCUCGGACCGCCUCUGCUAAAGGGGAGGAAGGACUGGGCAACGGUAGGUCAGCAUGCCCCGAAUUAUCCGGGCUACACGCGGGCUACAAUGGACAGGACAAUGAGUUUCGACACCGAGAGGUGAGGAUAAUCUUCUAACCCUGUCCCAAGUUCGGAUUGCGGGUUGUAACUCACCCGCAUGAAGCUGGAAUCCGUAGUAAUCGCGUUUCAACAUACCGCGGUGAAUAUGUCCCUGCUCCUUGCACUCACCGCCCGU